rnacentral:rRNA from 1 species
UACGGAGGGUGCAAGCGUUAUCCGGAUUCACUGGGUUUAAAGGGUGCGUAGGUGGGCUAGUAAGUCCGUGGUGAAAUCCCUGAGCUUAACUUGGGAACUGCCGUUGAUACUAUCUGUCUUGAAUACUGUGGAGGUAAGCGGAAUAUGUCAUGUAGCGGUGAAAUGCUUAGAUAUGACAUAGAACACCUAUUGCGAAGGCAGCUUGCUACACAGUCAUUGACGCUGAGGCACGAAAGCGUGGGGAUCAAACAGG